ACCAUGUUGGCCAGGCCGGUCUUGAACUUGUGACGUCAGGUGAUGCACCCGCCUUGGCCUCCCAAAGUGCUGGGAUUACAGGUCCAGAUUUUGAACAAAUCUCGCUAGAGAUUGAACAGAGCUGCGCCUGGAUCCCGCCACAGUGAGGAGACCUGAAGACCAGAGAAAACACAGCAAGCCCCUGGAUCCUCCUGGAAUCCCCGAUCCCUCUUGCUCCCUGGCAGAGUUUUCUAGUCCCUCUUACUUGAAGCAUGUCUUUCAGAGCCCGGCACCACCCAUCUUGAGUAUCUGGUGGAUUUUCACAUCUCAAGCCAGCUAAGAGUAUGGGAAAUAGGACUCGUUAAAGCACAGAUAUCACACAAGUGAUUCAGAUUCACGAGGGUAAUCCAGAUGAAGGUAUAUCAUUGUACCUGGCCCGCAUCACUCAGUAACUGUCACCUUUGAUUUAUUGAUUUACUUGAG
rnacentral:lncRNA from 1 species